GAUGAACGCUAGCGACAGGCUUAACACAUGCAAGUCGAGGGGCAGCACGGUGUAGCAAUACAUUGGUGGCGACCGGCGCACGGGUGAGUAACGCGUAUGCAACCUACCUAUCAGAGGGGAAUAACCCGGCGAAAGUCGGACUAAUACCGCAUAAAACAGGGGUUCCACAUGGAAAUAUUUGUUAAAGAUUUAUCGUUGAUAGAUGGGCAUGCGUUCCAUUAGAUAGUUGGUGAGGUAACGGCUCACCAAGUCUACGAUGGAUAGGGGUUCUGAGAGGAAGGUCCCCCACACUGGUACUGUGACACGGACCAGACUCCUACGGGAGGCAGCAGUGAGGAAUAUUGGUCAAUGGGCGAGAGCCUGAACCAGCCAAGUCGCGUGAAGGAUGAAGGAUCUAUGGUUUGUAAACUUCUUUUAUAUGGGAAUAAAGUGAGGAACGUGUUCCUUUUUGUAUGUACCAUAUGAAUAAGCAUCGGCUAACUCCGUGCCAGCAGCCGCAGUAA
rnacentral:rRNA from 1 species